ncrna:unclassified sequences Glutamine riboswitch
UUCGUUCAACUCUUAAUAAGAGUCGGAAGUAGGCAACUGCCGAAGGAACGCUUA